CGACGGAUUUUCCUCUUACUAUAAAUUUCAUUGUUGCCAUUAUUGACAUG
rnacentral:tRNA from 1 species